AUUCAGCUGAAGAGUCCCAAAUAGAACGAAACGCGAGUCCUGGAU
rnacentral:hammerhead_ribozyme from 1 species